GGGGUGUUAGCAUUCAAGUCACAGAGUGGAACGUUCCUUUUCAUAGAGCAGGUUUGAAACACUCUUUUUGUGGAAUCUGGAAGUGGACAUUUGGAUCGCUUUGAGGCCUGCGGUGAAAAAGGUAUAUCUUCGCAUAAAAACUAGACAGAAGUAUUCUCAUGAACUAGUUUGUGAUGUGUGUGCUCAACUACCAGAGUUGAACCUUUCUUUGGAUAGAGCAGUUUUGAAACACUCUUUUUGUAGAAUUUGCAUGUGGAUAUUUGGACAGCUUUGAGGAUUUCGCUGGAAACGGGAAAAUCUUCAUAUGAAAUCGAGACACAAGCA
rnacentral:lncRNA from 1 species